AAGGACUAUCCAUUCCUAUACCUCUUUAGAAAAUAUGGGCACAAUUUUUCUGAAAGAGGUUCUAAGGCUUAUCCUAAGAGGAUGAAAUAGAGUUUCAGCUUCCCAGGCCUACUGGAAAUUUGGCCCAGCA
rnacentral:lncRNA from 1 species